GACAUGGUUGAGCUUGUUGUGAACUCACCCAAGGGAGUGUACGUCUUGGCAUGUGGGGGAUGACCUUAGGUUCUCAAAAUACACCCCAAGGCUGCCCCAAACAGCCCGCACCUGCCACCCCUUCAUUAAGGGCAAAUGGGUCCUUUUGCCAUCCUUUUUGUAAAGACUAUUUAAGGUGUUUCUUUAGAUUGGUUCCUUAGUUCAUUUUUGAAAACACUUGUAAUAU
rnacentral:lncRNA from 1 species